AGCAUCUAGCGUGGCCAGCAGGACCGCAGCACUGACAGCCGGCGCUCAGGCAGCUUCCUUGUCCCAGAUCAUUCUCGUAAAAUGUCUGGGAGCAGGCAGAGACCAACCCGCAUCAUGCUGUUGUCGUAGCGCAAGCAAGGCCUCAGUAAGCAUGCCAGCACUGAUUCCAGCAGCAGAGUGGCUUCCUUGCCAGCACUAGAAUAUAAGAAAUCACACUAUAUAGAGAG
rnacentral:lncRNA from 1 species